CCUCGGCGGGCGGCCCCAGGGCGGGGCCUUCUACGGGUGCCCGCCGACGGCCCCUAUAAACUCUUGUUGUUUGGGCACUCUGAGUAAGAUGAAUCAAAUGAGUCAAAACUUUCAACAACGGAUCUCUUGGUUCUGGCAUCGAUGAAGAACGCAGCGAAAUGCGAUAAGUAAUGUGAAUUGCAGAAUUCCAGUGAAUCAUCGAAUCUUUGAACGCACAUUGCGCCCAUUAGCAUUCUAAUGGGCAUGCCUGUCCGAGCGUCAUUUCAACCACUCAGGCCCCUAUGGCCCUGACGUUGGGGCAUCUGCGGUUGACCGCAGGCCCUGAAAGAUAGUGGCGGUGCCCGCUAGCACUCCGGGCGCAGUACGUUUCCUUCUCGCCCAGGACGUCUAGCGGGCUGCCGGCCGUAAAACAGCCUAAAGAUUAGAAGGUUGACCUCGGAUCAGGUAGGACUACCCGCUGAACUUAAGCAUAUCA
rnacentral:rRNA from 1 species